rnacentral:rRNA from 1 species
UACGAAGGGGGGCGAGCGUUGUUCGGAUUUACUGGGCGUAAAGGGCGCGUAGGCGGCCUUCUAAGUCGAACGUGAAAUCCCCGGGCUCAACCCGGGAACUGCGUCCGAUACUGGAAGGCUUGAAUCCGGGAGAGGGAUGUGGAAUUCCAGGUGUAGCGGUGAAAUGCGUAGAUAUCUGGAGGAACACCGGUGGCGAAGGCGACAUCCUGGACCGGUAUUGACGCUGAGGCGCGAAAGCCAGGGGAGCAAACGGG